GCUUAAAUACAUCUUAUGUUACUGUUCAAC
rnacentral:other from 20 species